rnacentral:rRNA from 1 species
UACGAAGGGGGCUAGCGUUGCUCGGAAUUACUGGGCGUAAAGCGCACGUAGGCGGCUUGUUAAGUCGGGGGUGAAAGCCCCGGGCUCAACCUGGGAAUGGCAUUUGGGACUGCAAGGCUUGAGUGCGGCAGAGGAGACUGGAAUUCCUGGUGUAGCAGUGAAAUGCGUAGAUAUCAGGAGGAAUACCGAUGGCGAAGGCAGGUCUCUGGGCCGAUACUGACGCUGAGGAGCGAAAGCGUGGGGAGCGAACAGG